rnacentral:rRNA from 1 species
AUUGAACGCUGGCGGCAUGCCUUACACAUGCAGGUCGAACGGUAACAGGUCUUCGGAUGCUGACGAGUGGCGAACGGGUGAGUAAUACAUCGGAACGUGCCUAGUAGCGGGGGAUAACUACUCGAAAGAGUGGCUAAUACCGCAUGAGAUCUACGGAUGAAAGCAGGGGAUCGCAAGACCUUGUGCUACUAGAGCGGCCGAUGGCAGAUUAGGUAGUUGGUGGGAUAAAAGCUUACCAAGCCGACGAUCUGUAGCUGGUCUGAGAGGACGAUCAGCCACACUGGGACUGAGAAGCGGCUCAGACUCCUACGAGAGGCAGCAGUGGGAAAUUUUGGACAGUGCGCGAAAGCAUGGUUCAGCAAUGCCGGGUGCAAGAUGCAGGCCGUCGGGUUUUUAACUGCUUUUGUACGGAACGAAAAGCCCGGGGUUAAUACCCUGAGGUCAUGACAGUACCGUAAGAAUAAGCACCGGCUAACUACGUGCCAGCCGCCGCAGUAA